rnacentral:rRNA from 1 species
AUUGAACGCUGGCGGCAGGCCUAACACAUGCAAGUCGAGCGAGCGGCGGACGGGUGAGUACUGUCUGGGUAACUGCCUGAUGGAGGGGAAUAACUAUUGGAAACGGUAGCUAAUACUGCAUACCAUCAGCUCUGUCCCGAUGUGAUUAGCUAGUAGGUGGGUUAACGGCUCACCUAGGCGACCAUCCCUAGCUGGUCUGAGAGGAUGACCAGCCACACAGGAACUGAUACACGGUCCAGACUCAUACGGGAGGCAGCAGUGGGGAAUAUUGCACAAUGGGCGCAAGCAUGAUGCAGCCAUGCCGCGUGUGUGAAGAAGGCCUUCGGGUUGUAAAGCACUUUCAGCUGGGAGGCGUUACCCGCAGAAGAAGCACCGGCUAACUCCGUGCCAGCCGCCGCGGUAAUAC